CAGUGGCGUAGCCAGGGUUGAAAUGAUGUGGAUGCCUUCGCCGAGCGGAGCGAGGCGAAUUUUUUUUUAGACUAUUUUAUGAGAUUUUUUUCGGCCCCCAGACAUUGUUCCUGUAAGCACAUGUACUCCCCUAGAAUCCGACACUGGUUAGAUUUUUGUUUGAUUUCAAAAUACCAACCAAUUCAUAUAAUUAUAUUUCAAACAAAAUUUUAAUGUUUUCUCAAAAUUCUCGAAAUUGAAUGUAAUUCAUAAUUUAUUUAUUUGAUGUAAAAGUUUCCCACCAAUCUUAUAUUUGACAUCUCAAAAACGGCCCCAUCACAGCGGCACUUCUGUAUAAAGGAACUGAAGUGUUCCCCUUUCCUAACCCGAAUAAUUCAGUCUUUAUAUUCCGCUGAUCUACGAAGGCUACAUUAACUCUUGUGGGAGAAAAUCGGACACGGAAAGGGCUUGAAUUAUUCGAGUUACCCCUUUUCUAGCAUUUCUCAAAAAACGGCCCCAUCACAGCGGCACUUCGGAAUACAGGAACUGAAGUGAUUCCAUUAACGCGUCGCAGGGGACAUCAUCGAAAUUCCUGGUGUCCGUCAAUCCGGCCUUGUUUGCACUCUCAUGUGUACAAUUCUUGCCAGGUUUUUAUAUCAUCAGCAAUGAC
rnacentral:lncRNA from 1 species